rnacentral:rRNA from 1 species
CCUACGGGUGGCAGCAGUGGGGAAUAUUGGACAAUGGGCGAAAGCCUGAUCCAGCCAUGCCGCGUGUGUGAAGAAGGCCUUCGGGUUGUAAAGCACUUUCAGUGGGGAAGAAAGCCUUGGGGCUAAUACCCUCGAGGAAGGACAUCACCCACAGAAGAAGCACCGGCUAACUCCGUGCCAGCAGCCGCGGUAAUACGGAGGGUGCGAGCGUUAAUCGGAAUUACUGGGCGUAAAGCGCGCGUAGGCGGUCUGAUAAGCCGGUUGUGAAAGCCCCGGGCUCAACCUGGGGACGGCAUCCGGAACUGUCAGGCUAGAGUGCAGGAGAGGAAGGUAGAAUUCCCGGUGUAGCGGUGAAAUGCGUAGAGAUCGGGAGGAAUACCAGUGGCGAAGGCGGCCUUCUGGACUGACACUGACGCUGAGGUGCGAAAGCGUGGGUAGCAAACAGGAUUAGAUACCCCUGUAGUC